GUUUCAGAAACUAUUUUUACACACAAAAAAUUAUAGAAUUAUGAAUUUAACUGGUGUUGUAAGUCAGUAACUCAUAAUGUUAUAUAUUUCAUUUCCAGCAAUGCUAGUUCUAUGCAAUUUAAACACUGGAGAUUAUCAUUUAUCUUCUCUGAACUUCUUGGAAUAAUCAGGAAAAUACAAACCACCCCAACGUCCUUUUACUGCUAUAGCAGUAAAAUACUAUAGCCAUUUGGGCAGAGGACCAAAUGCCUUGUCAUGCUUCACCAUCAACAUAGGCAAUAUCUAGAAUUAAUUGUAAUGUACUCCAUGUCACAGUUUAUUAGUAUGUUGUUUAUAUACAUAUAUUCACAAGCCAGAAAGAUACACCCAAGUCAAGGACAUAAUCUAGACUACCAUCAAAUUUUAUUAUGGCUACUGACUCUUAUUAUGAAUUUCAAAAUCAGUGGGCAUCCAGUUAGGACAGAAAAAAAAUGAACAGUAAAUUUGAACAGAGAAAAUUAGUGUUUAUAAUUAUUAGAUGCUAACAAAGGAUUAACCCUUAUGGUGUAAAGAAAAUUAUAAAGAAAAUACAGAUUUAGAAUAUAGAGAACUACUAUCUUUAUGACACUGGCAUAAUACUCAAGAGAAUAAAAAUUAUUAGAGAUCUCAAAGCCAAUACACAGAUUGUAAUAACAAGUAUCUUUGGCUCACAGCAGGGUAAAAAGAAUCAGAAAACAAACAAAGCAAAACAAAACAAACAAGUGGAGUACAACAUGUUUUUAAAUUAUAACUGGUAUUUAAUUUAGAAAGGAUACAGAUCAACAGUCAUACCACACCACAUGGGACCACAUGCAGAAGCACUGGUUUUGGUCAGGAGGCAGAAGAGGAAGGGGAAAGCACAGAUCAAAAGGUUUAUUGUGAUUUUUAAAAAUUUACAUAAUAGGCAGAGAAACAGAAAUAUGGAGUGCCCCUAGCCACUGAGUCUCUUCCAAAUACCUCAGCCUUACUGGGAUGAAGUCAGAAGUGGAUUCUCCAUCUAGAUGUCCCAUGUGGGUGGCAGGAACUGAAUUACUUGAGUUAUCACUGCUUCCUACUGUGGAGGUCCUUAUCAGGAAGCUGAAUCAAGAGGCAGAGCCAGAAAUCAAACCCAGGUACUUUGAUACGUUACAAAAAUGUGUUAACUGGCAUCAUAAUCACUAUGUCAAAUACCUACCCUCUAUUGUGAUUUUUAGUAGAAGGAAUGAGCAAGGGAAGGAAAGCCCUUUAGGAUUGGCUAGGUUGAAUCAUAACUGCACUAAAGAUUGUCCCUAAUUACCUGGUAUGUGACUCCAUGUUGAUUUAGGACAGAGAAAAUUUAACCUGCUGCUUCACAGGUUAUGAAAGAGAUUGUGGCUAGGGGUAUGUGUUUUGGGAUGGUUGGUUUAAAUAUGGAAAAUGUGCUGGUGGGACAGUUGUUUUCUAUCCCUAGGAACUAGCUAUUCCUGGGAGGAACAAUCUCAUCAGCAUUCAAAAGGUCCCAAGUGAUCAAAGCAUCCAAAAAUACAGAAUUUUUUUUUUUUUUAAAUGAUCAGUAAGCAUGUUGAAUCUGAAAAGCAGACAACUAUCCACUGGAAUGUGAAAGAAGUCUGCUGUAUCUGACUGAGCCUAUAACUGAAGACUCUGGCUAACUGCUGUGAAUGCUGUUCACAUUCACUGAGAAUUUUCCCCAUGUGCCAAUGGAACUCACUUGGAGCCAUCCAUGGAGGUAACCAGGAUGCUACCUGCUAUGAAACCUACAAAGCUCGUGGGAAAUCCAAUUAUUCAACAAGCUAUCUUAUUUGAAGAUAUGCAGAGCUGAGAGAUUUGUGCACAUUUUCCUUGUCUAGUUUAAAUGCUUUGUGUUGAGAAGUGACAACAUCGGCACAGCACAGAUGAGGCUUACCGUGGGUUCACUCAGGCUUCACUAGACUAUGCAAAGACUCAUCAAUAGUCCAGAUGUUCUCCAUGACUAAGCCAUAUAGGAGUCUCCUGCCAGAACACAGAGAAUGAAAUCAAACUCCUGAAGAUCUACCUCCACCACAGCAGACAUGUGAAAAAUACAUGCAGGUCAUCAUACCUGUUGUCAGUCUUUGAAGUUGAAUAUAUUUUUUUCAUAGAUUAGUGCUUUUGAUUAUCUGCUGAUAUACAUUUGAGUGAUUACAGAUGUGUUCUGUUUUGUGAACAUAUACAGAUUUUUCUUGUUUCUUCAAAGUCUCUAACUGUUCAAUAUUAAUCCAUUUUUUUAAAAUCAUAAACCUGGGGAGGCAUUUAAUGUAGCAGUUAAGGUUCUACUUGGCAUACCCAUAUUCCAUAUCGGAGUGUCUGGAUUCAGGUGCAGGCUCUGAUUCUGAUUCGAGUUCCUGAUUCUACAGGUCCUCAUACAAAUCACUGCAACUUAUUCAGAAGACAGCUAGUAUUUGCACAACUCCCAUGUAUUCUCAUGUG